AUUUUCUGUUGUUUUGAACUUUAAGCCACUGUGCUGUGACCAGUCAUCCUAUAUUGUGGAGAGUAGUUGGUCAUAUACAUGACUUCUUAAAUGGUGCAUCAUUCUAUAUCUGGAUUUAUCAGCAUGCAUUUGGUCAUCAUCCAUACACCAACAUUGACGGCUUGGAUCCUGAUAUCGUCACAACUGAGGAUCAUCCGGAUAUAAGACGGAUAAAGUGGAAUCAACAGUGGGUGCCUCGAUAUCUAUAUCAACAUGUCUAUGUGCCCCUUGUUUACUGUUUGCUUGGACUGAAGACUAGAAUUCAGGAUGUAACAAUAAUGUUCCUUAUAAAGAAAAAUGGUGAGUUGACUUCAUUCAGUUAUUACUGAGCAUAAUUAUAAACUG